GUGCUCGCUUCAGCAGCACAUACACUAAAAUUGGAACGAUACCGAGAUUAGCAUGGCCCCUGCACAAGGAUGACACACAAAUUCAUUCGUGAAGCGUUCCAUAUUUUU